UACAGAGGUCUCAAGCGUUGUUCGGAUUCAUUGGGCGUAAAGGGUGUGUAGGUGGCGCGCUAAGUCGGGUGUGAAAUUUCGGAGCUUAACUCCGAAACUGCAUUCGAUACUGGCGUGCUUGAGGACUGGAGAGGAGACUGGAAUUCAUGGUGUAGCAGUGAAAUGCGUAGAGAUCAUGAGGAAGACCAGUGGCGAAGGCAGCUCGCUACACUAUUAUUGACACUGAGGCACGAAAGCGUGGGGAUCAAACAGG
rnacentral:rRNA from 1 species